UUAUAGUAUUUUAUUUUGUUUAAAGUUUUUAUUUGGUUUGUUUCAUUUUGUCUCUAAACAAAAAUAAGUACAAGGGCAUUGUGGGAACUUGUAAAAAUAAAAAACCCUAGAAACACAUGUGUAUAUAUUUGCGCAUGGCUGAGAAGGAAGAGGGCAUCUGCGGCGCCAUUUGUUGGCAUAUGGUUGUGUUUCUUUCAAAAUUUCAUAAAAAUAGUAUAAAAAAAAGGAUAGUGAGGAUUGUGAACAAAGAGGAAUCUUUCUUUUCUUCUUAUUUUGUUUUUAUUUAUGUGUCUCUUAAGCACCUUCAUUCACUCUUCACAAGGCUCCCCUUCACAUUUACCAAUCGUGAGGCACAUUCUGUAAC
rnacentral:lncRNA from 1 species